rnacentral:rRNA from 1 species
AUUGAACGCUGGCGGCAGGCCUAACACAUGCAAGUCGAGCGAGCGGCGGACGGGUGAGUAAUGUAUGGGGACUGCCCGAUAGAGGGGGAUAACUACUGGAAACGGUAGCUAAUACCGCAUACUAUCGGAUAACCCAUAUGGGAUUAGCUAGUUGGUGAGGUAAUGGCUCACCAAGGCGACGAUCCCUAGCUGGUCUGAGAGGAUGAUCAGCCACACGGGGACGGGAAAACGUCCCGUACUCCGACGGGGGCAGCAGUGGGGAAUAUUGCAAAAGGGGCGCAAGCCUGAUGCAGCCAUGCCGGGUGUAUGAAGAAGGCCCUAGGUUUGUAAAGUACUUUCAGUCGGGAGGCGUUACCGACAGAAGAAGCACCGGCUAAUUCCGUGCCAGCAGCCGCGGUAAUA